rnacentral:lncRNA from 1 species
UGUCAUACAGAAAUAUCAAUGGUUGCAACAUUAUCAGCCAAAAGAAACUCUUCUCUGACCAAAAAUCAUCAAUGAACUUUCAUAAAUGUAUGGUCAUUCAAUAGGGAUCAUCAACUCAAUAUCAAUAAGCCCUGUUUGAGAAGGCUCGUAUAAAUAAUACCUAGUAUGGGGGAUUCAAUUAACCCAGAUUCAUCACCAAAAACCAUAACAUAGAACCGAAUUUCCAUACAGCGCAUUUUGAUUCUAAAAUCUGUGUGACGACACCAACCACAAGCAGCAAAUGAAUAAGCAAUAAGCAGGGUUUGUGAAUAAACUAACCUGAAGGAUCUUAACUCUACCAGCAACAUCAGGCCUAUCCACAGUAACCUGUCGAUCGAACCUCCCAGGCCUUAGCAAUGCAGAAUCAAGAACGUCUGGUCUAUUAGUGGCAGCCAAUACAAUGACACCUGAAUUUCCGGAGAAUCCAUCCAUCUCUGUCAACAGCUGAUUGAUGGUUUGCUCUCUCUC